GAUGAACUGUGGGUAGCGGAGAAAUUCCAAUCGAACCCGGAGAUAGCUGGUUCUCUCCGAAAUAGCUUUAGGGCUAGCCUUGAAAUAGAUUACCGGAGGUAAAGCACUGAAUUGGCUAGGGGCCGAGAGGUUACUGAACCUUAUCAAACUAAGAAUGCCGGAUAAUCGUUUUUCAGGAGUCAGACAGUGGGAGAUAAGUUUCAUUGUCAAAAGGGAAACAGCCCAGACCCACAGCUAAGGUCCCCAAGUAUAGUUAAGUGGAAAAGGAUGUGGAAUUGCACAGACAACCAGGAUGUUGGCUUAGAAGCAGCCACUCAUUAAAAGAGUGCGUAAUAGCUCACUGGUCGAGUGACUCUGCGCCGAAAAUUUAACGGGGCUAAACUAUACACCGAAGCUUGGGAUACAUCUAAUGUAUGGUAGGAGAGCGUUCUGUAUGGGGUGAAGUCGUAGCGAAAGCGGCGGUGGACUGUACAGAAGUGAGAAUGCCGGAAUAAGUAGCGAGAAUUAAGUGAGAAUCUUAAUGGCCGAAAGUCUAAGGUUUUUGGAGGAAGGUUCGUCCGCUCCAAGUAAGUCGGGAGCUAAGGUCAGGCCGAAAGGCGUAGCCGAUGCACAUACGGUUGAUAUUCCGUAACCAUCUGUAAUUUAAGCAAAGGGACACUUCAAAAGGGUGUGACCCGGGCGUUGGUUGACCCGGGCGUAAGGGACCGAAAUUAGAGUAGGGAAGCACACUUGGCUGAAGGCGAGAAAAGCUUUGCGUAUAGAAACAGAUGCCCGUACCGCAAACCGACACAGGUGGACAGGAAGAGAAUUCUAAGGCCAGCGGGAGAAGGGUAGUUAAGGAACUCGGCAAAUUGACUCCGUAACUUCGGAAUAAGGAGUGCUCGAAAGAGCCGCAGAGAAUAGGCCCAGGCGACUGUUUAGCAAAAACACAGGUCUCUGCCAAAUCGAAAGAUGAAGUAUAGGGGCUGACACCUGCCCGGUGCCGGAAGGUUAAGAGGAGGAGUGAGAGCUCCGAAUUGAAGCCCCGGUAAACGGCGGCCGUAACUAUAACGGUCCUAAGGUAGCGAAAUUCCUUGUCGGGUAAGUUCCGACCCGCACGAAUGGUG
rnacentral:rRNA from 1 species